rnacentral:pre_miRNA from 15 species
ACGUCGCUAAACACGUGACUAUGUUCCGUCCUAAGUACUAGUGCCGUAGGUUAACUGAGAAGGAAAGUGAAGCUAGACUAUAGCUUCUCAGACCUGUAGUACUAGUACUUAACAUGGCACAAGUCGAAUUCACCGUGGAAGCUU